UGGAAGCAACCCAAGUGCACAUCGAUGGAUGAAUGGAUAAACCACAGCUAGUCUGUCCACACAGUGAAUUUUACUCGUCCUAAAAAAGGAAAGAAAUCCCGGCAUAUCCUACAACAUGGAGAAAUCUUGAGAACUUAUGAUUUCCUUGUGCUAAGUGACAUAAACCAGUCUCAAAAAGACAAAUUCUGUAUGAUUCUGUAUGCUUCUAUGAGAUGCUUAGCGUAGUCAGAUUCAUAGAUACAUAAAGUAGAAUGGUUGGUGCAGGUUGCAGUUGUGUCACGGGUUCAGGCCUGACCUGGGAACUUCCACAUGCUGUGCGUGCAGCCAAAAGAAAAGGAAAAAAAAAGGAGUAGAAUGGUGGCUGUCAGAGGCUUGAGGACAGAAAUGGGGAGUUGUUUCACGGGUACAGAGUUUCAGUUUUGCAAGAUUAAAAGACUUUAUGGAUGGAUGGGGGUGAUGGUUGCACAACAGUGUGACUGGACUUAAUGCCACUAGGCUGUGCCAUUAAAAAUGGUUAUGAGUUCCUGCUGUGGCGCAAUGGGAUCAGCCGUGCCUCUGCAGCGCCAGGACGCAGGUUCAACCCCCAUCCCGGCACAGUGGGUGAAAGGAUCCAGUGUUGCUGAAGCUGUAGCAUAAGUCGCAACUGCAGCUUGGAUCUGAUCCCUGGCCCAGGAACUCCCUCUGUUGCAGAACGGCCAAAAAUGAAAAACAAACAAACAGUCGUAAGUAAGAUGGUAAGUUUUACGUUCUGUGUGUUUCACCCCCCCCACAACUGUCCCACACAAAGAGGCGGCAUCGAUUUAAAAGAAGCAUCUCUGAGCGGAGGCCUUAGGAGAUGGAUCCGCAGAUAAAGGCCAGUCAGGUCUGAGCCAGGCCAAGCCAGAUGUCUGGCUACACGUUGUGUGACAGUGAGAGGGGAGCGGAUGAAAAGAAGAAAUUCCAAAUGGGUAAUCUAUGGGGAGAAAUAACCAUGUCUUAAAAAUGACACAAUAAGCAUCACGGUCACACCGAGUAUAUAUAAAUAAAUGUGCUCUUUGGCAGGAAACAUGGUAUUUGGAACCGUCCCAGAGUCGUUCUUUUUACUGCAGAUGGAAAGAGGCAGGCAGAGUCUUACUCCGUGUCAGAAACGUCCCACGGAGCCAAGCUCCUUACCCACCACCCAAGCGAGCACUUUCUAUCUGAGUCAGGUGAUCCGGAUGCUACUCAUCUGGAGACCACGCUGGUCCUGAGCCCACACCGGUGGGCUUCCAGCCGCAAAGGGAAGAAGGCAGGCGGGGUGUCGAUCUGAGAAGAAAACCCACCAGGAGAAGGGAGUUAAAACUGUUCCUAGACCGCACAGCGUGGUCACAGCCUAGCAGACCUCGGGGUCCUCGCCUCUGAAGGGAAAGAAGCCUGUAAGCUUCCGUCCAGCGCCUUCCAUGAUCCCGCGGACGCCAGGCUGCAGGAUCUAAUGCCACGUGCUUUGGUGACCACGAGAACUCGUUACAGAUCCUGCCUCAGGUUUAUUUACACAAAUAGCCCAGGAGGAGAGCAGUGCCCUCAGCAGCCCAGGGGUCACACCAGUCCUUCCACCUCCACAUUAGCACAAAGAAGCCUCUGCUCUGGCCUUCGGAGCAGCUUAGGCACCUUUGGGAGCUGGAGCAGGGGCUGGAGCAGAUGCUGGAUCUGGAGCAGGAACGGGAGUAGGAGGCUGAGCUGGCGCUGGAGCUGAAGAAGGAACAGGAGCCGCAGGUGGAGCUGGGGCAGGAGGCAGAGCAGGAGCAGGAACAGGGGCUGGGGCUGGGGCAGGAGCUGGAUCUGGGGAAGGAGCAGGAACAGGACCUGGAGCCGGAGCUGGAGAUAGACCUGGAGCUGGGGCAGGAGCUAAAGGUAAGGCUACAGCUUGAUCUUGGUCUGAGCCCUGGUCUUGCACUUGGCCGGCAGAGCCUUCGCCCCACGGAGAUGCAGGCACGAGCUGGCUUCCCAAGCUUGGGGUGGAUGAGGUCGGUAAGUCCAUUAAGCUCGUGGUCGAUGUGCUCUGGGGCUGGGGCUCGGCCUCCGUGGGCUUUAUGGGGCCUGAGAACCUCGGCCCCCACGCGGGCCCUUAGCUCAGGGCUCUGCACCUUCUGCACACCUGUCUUGUUGUGCUUCUCAGAAAAGCGUGUGUUCCUCGGGAACUCAGGGCCACCCCUUCACAGGUUCACAUCUUUGCGUUCGGGGCUUUUUGAUAGCGUUUCUGGGCCAUUUUCCGGAGAUGCGGGCCGUGCUUCUUGGACUUGGCCGUGUCUUUAUGGACAUUCAAGGCUCCCAAAGUGCCUGGGACCAAAGAGAAAGAAGCUGGCCACCAGGAGGUCCUCAAUUUUAAAGCAAAUUUUGUUCCCGCAACUUAUGAGUUAGUGUAACCAGCUGUACCCAGUGCUCAUCAGAUUCGCCUCAAUGAUCCACUGUUUACAACUCGCCGAAGGUGCUAAGAACAGUGGGGAUUGUGCCAGGGUGUUUUUCCCCCAAGAAAGGACUUUACCAAAUUCUCUCCAUCCCCCAAACUCUUUCCUCGGACCCAGUUUCCUUUCAUGCAUCCUUCCACUCCGUCCUUCGCUCAGCCAGUGUUUAUUGAACGCCUGAUGCAGAUUCCACCCUUGGCCCUGCCCCCGCUGUUGUAGACAAUCUAACACGGUUCCUGAACUCACUUUGCUCACAGCCUGGAGAGGAGAUGGACUUCAUUAGAGUAAUGACGCCAGAGCGUGUGGAGGUGCUUUAGAAAGACGGAGCAUUUUACAAGGAUCCUGUGGAGCCCGCUCUCUCCCGCUGAGCCUGUUUUGUUUUUGUUUUUUGUUUUUUUUUUAAUACUGUGGGCAAAAGGAUAUAUACCUCGCAGGGUGGUUUUUUAAAAAAUAUAUAUAUAACAGGAGUUCCCGCUGUGGCUCAGUGGUUAACAAAUCCAACUAGGAACCAUGAGGUUGCGGGUUCGGUCCCUGCCCUUGCUCAGUGGGUUAAGGAUCCGGCGUUGCCGUGAGCUGUGGUGUAGGUUGCAGACACGGCUCGGAUCCCACGUUGCUGUGGCUGUAAUAUAGGCUGGUGGCUACAGCUCCAAUUGGACCCAUAGCCUGGGAACCUCCAUAUGCCAUGGGUGUGGCCCUAGAAAAAGACAAAAUGACCAAAAAA
rnacentral:lncRNA from 1 species